AAAGAUUUAGUUAAAUCAAUAACGUUAGAAUGUCACCCUAAAAUUGUUACACACAAUCUUUU
rnacentral:tRNA from 1 species